AUUGAACGCUGGCGGCAGGCCUAACACAUGCAAGUCGAGCGGAGCGGCGGACGGGUGGGUAAUGCCUAUGAAUCUGCCUGGUAGUUGGGGAUAACGUCCGGAAACGGGCGCUCAUACCGCAUACUCUCCAAUGAGCCUGGGUCGGACUAGCUAGUUGGUGGGGUAAGGGCCUACCAAGCCGGCGAUCCGUAACUGGUCUGAGAGGAUGAUCAGUCACACUGGAACGGAGACACGGUCCAGACUCGUACGGGAGGCAGCAGUGGGGAAGAUUGGACAAUGGGCGAAAGCCUGAUCCAGCCAUGCCGCGGGUGUGAAGAAGGUCUUCGGAUUGUAAAGCACUUUAAGUUGGGAGGCGUUACCAACAGAAUAAGCACCGGCUAACUUCGUGCCAGCAGCCGCGGUAAUAC
rnacentral:rRNA from 1 species